rnacentral:rRNA from 1 species
GACGAACGCUGGCGGCGUGCCUAAUACAUGCAAGUUGAGCGCUGAAGGUUGGUACUUGUACCAACUGGAUGAGCAGCGAACGGGUGAGUAACGCGUGGGGAAUCUGCCUUUGAGCGGGGGACAACAUUUGGAAACGAAUGCUAAUACCGCAUAAAAACUUUAAACACAAGUUUUAAGUUUGAAAGAUGCAAUUGCAUCACUCAAAGAUGAUCCCGCGUUGUAUUAGCUAGUUGGUGAGGUAAAGGCUCACCAAGGCGAUGAUACAUAGCCGACCUGAGAGGGUGAUAGGCCACAUUGGGACUGAGACACGGCCCAAACUCCUACGGGAGGCAGCAGUAGGGAAUCUUCGGCAAUGGACGAAAGUCUGACCGAGCAACGCCGCGUGAGUGAAGAAGGGUUUCGGAUCGUAAAACUCUGUUGGUAGAGAAGAACGUUGGUGAGAGUGGAAAGCUCAUCAAGUGACGGUAACUACCCAGAAAGGGACGGCUAACUACGUG